AUCCCCAACCCCCAACUCCUGCCUUUAAAAACAGGAGCCAAUCCUUCCCAAUAUCCAAUCCUACAAACUUGGUGGUGACUUGGGCAUCACUGAUGGAUAAUUAGGACCUAGAGUAUAAAAUGGCAGAUUGUAGCCGUUCAAAAUCCGGACUUUCUGUUUUAAUUGAGAAGAAUUAGCCUCGAAACAUUUUUUUCCUUGUCACAAUAGGUUUUCCAGUGUCUUGGCAAUAAGGAGUAGCAUUUUAAAUGACCUACAUUUGUGUAGGAAGCCACAUGGUCCAGCCCGGUAGGAUUAGUGAGGGGGGAAGAUAUUCUGGGGUGCUGACUACCCAUCAGGACAAGCAGGCUCCGACUUGGCUUCUCCAGCUCGCCAUCUGGCCAAUGCUGAUUCAUUAGGUAGGUGCCCUUCCUUCUGUUGGAAAGGACAUUUGUUCCCCAUAAUUUGCCACUUUUCCAAGUGGUUAAGGGAAAUUGGAUUUGUUGCAGCGUGCCAGAAGCGAGCAAGACUGGGAACGAGGGCAAGGAUGCCGCAAAAUGGAAAGUCCUCUGGAACCACUGGUGGUGACAUGAGAUGGCACAGCCACUUCAAGAAAGCCUGACAGCUCAUGGGAAGGCACUCUGUCCAGGAGAAUGGGUUAAGGACCUUGGAGCCAGAUGCCCUGAAUACGGCCCAGGCUCCAAUAGGUACUUCCUUGGCUUAACCCAUAAUGUCAAACACAAUCACACAGCACUGCAGCUCGCCCCAGCUCUACUCUCGAUUUGGAGGGUACGGUCAGAGAGGAUGAAGUCAUGGUGCCAGGAGCCUGAGGCAGCUGCUUGCAUUGUAUCCGCAGUGAGGAAGCCGAGAGAGAUGAACCCGAUGAGCAGGUAGCUUCCUCCUUUUCUUACAGUCUGAGACUGAGCCCACGGACACCUGCGUGCAAGAUGGGACUUCCCAGUUCAGUUAACCCAAGUUCUAAGCCAGGCUCUUGGAGAGCUAAAUCCAACGAGCGAGUGUUGGCAGAGCCAUGCUCCCUCUGGAGUGCCUCGAGGACAGUCUGCUUCUAUACCCUUCUCCAGUUCCUUGGGCUGUGUUCCUUGGCCUGUGGCCUUACCUCCACCUUCCAACCCGGCACUGUAGCACCUCCCUUAUUAAAAAGAAAUUAGUAAAAAUGUUAAAAACUAUUAUUUUUAUUUGACGUGUAUGGGUGUUUUUGUCUGCAUGUAUGUCUGUGCACCACAGCAUAUCCGGUGCACACAGAGACCAGAAGAGGAUGUGGGAUCUCCCAGGACUGGAGUUACCGAUGACAGUAAGCCGCCAUGUGGGUGCUGGGAAUUGAACCCAGAUCCUCUGAAAAGAGCAGUCAGUGCUCUUAACCACUGAGCCACAACCCCAGCUGUGGCAUCUUCCUUCUUUAGUCCUAGCCUCUUCUUUUCUAGUUGUGUCCAAUUUCCUUCUGUCUCAUAAGGACAGUAGUGCUCACACUGGCCUGCAGGGAUAACUCACCCGUUCCUUACUUGUGAGCUUCUACAAAGAUCCUCACUCUUUAUCGUGUACCAUGAACGGUCACUGAGACUAGGACCUCAUAUCUUUAGAAUCAUCAAUAAACUGCAGCCCAUCCUAGUACAGAAUGGAAAGCGAUGUCGUGUUUAUGGACCAUGUAAAUGAACAUUCUGCCUGGUGGUAAGAGCUCCAAUUAAUUCAGGAACACUUCGCAAUUACUACUGAAAGUAAACUAUUUUUACUCUCGGGUUCAACAAUUCCCUCUAAUUAGUGCUAAGAAUUCAUCAUAGGAUAUUUUUAAUUAAUUUUUUCCAUGUAAUAUAUUCUGAAUUCAGUUCUCACUGUGUUCUUGACAAUGGGCGUUCAAGGAUUAUUUGUUGAUGUCGUUUAUAGAAGCUACAUUUGCAAACAGCCCACACAGCCUGGCAAUGGGGACCGGGUGAGUGUGCAAAAGGGCUUCCACACCACGGGAUGCUGUAUCAAGCAGAGUGAGACAGUCCUUUGAAGAAAGUCUUCAAGAAUGUGUUCCCAUUGUGAGGACGAAUGAAGAGAGAAGACAGGAGAGGAGAGGACGAGAGAACCUAGAAAUACCCCGGAGGACACAGAAGGAAGACAGUACAUUCAAACCACUGAGUGGAGACUGGAGUUAGGCCAGCCAUAAACUAUCCUAAUGAAGACUAAUCGGGAACUACAAUUACUGUUGACUUCAGAAUGCAAACAUGAACUUUAGACAGCGAUCCCUAUCAGCCGGUGAGGCCGGGCACAGAUGCCGAUCACUGUUUUCUGCCGUUGCUUAGCAAUGGAAAAUGAACUGUUCCUGCCUCUUAUCACGGGGGGUGGAGAUAAAAGUUUGAAUUUUGCCCGGGAGGGACCCUCCAGAAUUAUCAUUAAAGAAAAUAUACGCAAAGAACAGAAGGGUCCCAUGCUGCCCUCUCCACAACAGAGUGUGGUGAUAUCCACUGGAAGGUCUUGUUGUCUCACAGAGGAACUUCCUCCUUCUGUAGGGAGGGUCUCCUUCUACAGUCCUUGUGCUGACCUCACCUGAACCUAUAGCGAGCUCAAAGUACUUCCACACCGAAGAUCCACCUUUGGGUUCCCCGUUUUGACCUGAAGCAUCCCAAGCUCUGCCUCGUGGUCAUGCUGCCUUCUCUCAGAUGGCUAGCAUGCUCCGAUGCCUCCCUCUAACAGCAGUAACCAUGACGUUUAGAGUUCUCCUUGAAGAUCUGCUUGGCAAUCUCCUCAUCUCCAAGAUGUCAUAUGAAGACGACACACUCAGCUUCCAGGGACUGGUGUUUGAUAUCCUGGUCAUCCUUCCAAACCAACUGAAGAGAAAGAGUGACGUAAGUGCAAACAUGCCCUUCACCCUCUCCCACAGGGCUUCCAUUAGAAGCUGCGGAUUGCCAGAGAGCCAGACAUGGAGGUUUGAAUGACUGUAACCCCAGUAAGUAGACAGGAGGGUGACAGGAAGCUGCCUUAGGACACGGAUGCUCAAUCCCAUGGAGGGUCGGCUGAAUAUGGUUUUGCUGACCCCCCCCUUGUACCCCACGACAGCAGCGAUAGGCAUCUACCUGUCUCCAACACCACUGCUACUGAGGGAGAAAAACAGGGUAUAAAGCCAUUACCCCACGGCAGCUCAUCUGUGAGCAUGCCUGCCGCCAGCUGCUCUUGGCUUGGCAGCACCCCUUCUGCUAAAGGUGGCUGGAAUUCCACUGCGUGCUCUCCCACACUUGGCUGUUAAUUGAAGCGCAAAGAUAACAUCAUCAAUCCAAAAGGGUCAUGAGUCCUUUUUGCCCUCUUGGCAAGUUAAUGUGGCCUAAUAUUUGUUUAAAGCCCACCUAUUCUUUUAAAAGACACUUUGUCCAGCGGAGUUUUGAUAAGUGCCUACCCCCCUCGCUCCUUUAAGCAAUAAAGUCAGAUUUUUUCCCCUUUUCUGUCCUGUGAGCAGCCAGCUUUUCUGAAGGAAGAUUGGCUUUAUAAAUGAGAAACAGAUCCUGCCCCAUAAAAGAUCUAAGACAUGGCUAUUGGGCCCAGACCUCUGCUGGGUGUGCUUUUAACUGCUAAGCCAUCUCUCCAGCCUAGUUUAAAAAAAUAAUUUCUGUCUAAAUCGUAUUUUUAUUAUUACAAAUAAGGGAGGGGAUCCAAAGGGAUCCACCACCACGCCCAACCCAAAACCCCUCCGCAAAUCUGAACAGAAGUGGUCAAAAUGACCCCAUUCCAAGACCCGUAGUCUGCAAAGAAAACCACACAUUUGAAGCAUUGAAGAGAUUUGUAAAGGUACAGACGCUGAACCCCAGCUCCGGAGAUCCUGAUUUAGCUGUUGUGAAGCAGAUCGGAGAGCAGUAUUUUUAAGAACACAUCCCCAGACAAUUCUAAUGGGCAGCUGGAGUUGGAAAGCACCAGACCAUUGAAAUAAAUUGCCACACAGCACAUCAUUCAUAAAUGUCUCUUAAAAACACAAUGCCGCCGAGUGAUCGGUACUUUAGAGCCACCGUGUCCCCACGCUGCCAGCCCAGUAGGUUCUCUCUAAUUUUUAUUGAAGUAUCACCGCCAGAAAGAGACACGUGCUCACUGCAUUCUCUGCAGCACUGCUGCUGAUAGCAAGAGAAUUUACAUUUUCAAUAUCUGUCAACGGGAGGGAUGGAGGCAUUGAACACGCUCCUGCAACGACCUGUCAUGCGGCAGCUAAAAUGAAUGAACUAGAUAUGCAACAGUCGAAGCCAGUGUCACCGGAUUCAGCGGUGAGCGAAAAGAAUCCAUUUCAGGGGGGGAAAAAAUUCUAGCGUGAUACUAUUUGUGCUGGAAGUGUUAAAAAAGGAAAGCUCUGAAUGGCUGGAGUGUGGUAGGAGGCAGACACCGAGGUGAAC
rnacentral:sRNA from 1 species